GCCCAAAUAGCUCAGUUGGUAGAGCAAUGGACUGAAGAUCCGUGUGUCGCCAGUUCGAGUCUGGCUUUGGGCA
rfam:Nannochloropsis gaditana chloroplast, complete genome.